AUGAACUUAAUUCGUACCUUAGAUCAAAAGUAUCACAGAAAUUUUAUGGCAGGUUCAACCAAUCGAGUGCUUUAAUGCAAAUGUAUGAAUAUGCAGCCAAAUACAGGAAUGAGAUCUACAAAGCGAUGAACAAUACAGAAACACCUACGACCGCAAGUUUUUCGUCUCUCUCGUCAAAACUGGAAUCUGUUUUUAAAGCUAUAGACAGCUAAAUAGAACGAAAAAUGUGUAAAUACAUUUGUAUAUAUUAAAAGCUUUAAGAGAUGAACAGCAGUUUCUCAUCAAGUUAUACAUAGGUUUUGACUAAGUAUAAUCAAGGAAAUACAUGGAAUGAAAUCGGACACGUGACAAACUAGUAGGAUGUCAAAAAAUCCAUAAGCCAUAUUGUUAUAAACUUUAUAUUAAUAUUCAUUUUCAUAUUUUUUCUUCUAAUAUUUUUGCCAUCUAAAUCAAAUUUUGACGAUGUAAUGUCUUUGUCGUAUUUUUAUUUUUAUGGUUGGCGCUUUUGUAUUGAAUUGGCGCUUUUGUAUUAAAUAUCUUCUGAUUUAUACCUCUCAACUCAUUAAAGCAGCACGCCUCAAGAUUCAUCCUAAUUUUUAUGAAAAUUUUGAAAAUGUAUUUAAAAGUAAAAUAUUGUGAAAUGAACAAAGAAUGUAAUUGACACAUUGCAAUCGGCACUUAUAAUCAACGUAAAUUACCAAAUAGAGGUCAAAAUAUGCAUAAAUAACCCCUACUGCGUUAGUAACGCAGUAGAAAUAUGGUGAUAAAUACUGCCAAAAGUCAUUAAUUGCACAUAAGAAAAAAUUAUCACCAGGAUCUUUAAUCUGUUUACUUUUCUUUAAAUUUUAGUACAGUUUUUCCAAGUUUUAUUUUCUUGAAAAGUUUUGGCUCACCUGGAGGCAUGCAGCUUUAAGCAAAUAUAAAACGCAAGAGGCGGUUUAGAAUUGUAAGGAAACAACAGCAUAACAUCAAGUAUGAACGAAAUUUUUGUAAAGAAGUGAAUGACAAAAAAACUAAGUGUGCCGAUAUUCCAUGUAUAUGGAUGUGUCAGGUUUAACUGUAAUUUCUGUUAUACAAUAUAUUUAAAGCAUGCUUUUUUAUAUUUUCAUUAUUAUUUUUCACAUUAUUUUUCACAUAUUUUUCACAUAUUUAGAGAUGAGUUGGAGAUUGAGAAGAAAAAAAACAAUAGUAAUUACAAUACCAAGAGCUUAGAUAUUUGGCAUGUACAUGUAGUAUCACCUUAAAGCUACAUUAAAUAAAUUUCAUAAAAACAGAAAUAGCGACAUUUCAUUAAUAAAUUGGGUUUCAUAUCGACUCCAGAUCUUAUUUAAGUAUCAAGACAACCAAAAAAAGUUUUAUAAUCUUAAAUAUCUGCGACCUCAUUGUUACAAUUUCUGUUUGCAUAUGAAACUCCGCCUUCGGAUCAUCCGUACAUCAAUAUUAAAUCAACAAACAUGGCUAUAAGUAGCAGACCUAAUAUAACGGUAUAUAUCCGCAUUGUAACGUAUGUUUGCAUACAAAUUUAAUAUCAUUAUGAGAUGAUUACUAUUUCCUGAAAGCCAUGCCAAGUGCACCGUGAAGCUAAAACGGUUAAAGUGUGUUUGCACAUGAAAAUCUCAUAUUUGCUGUGUUCUGUAUAGCAACUAUAACACUUUGACGUAGCUGAUUAUAGUCUUCAUUUGCAUGUUAAAAUUCGUAUACGAACUUUAGUGUUACCAUGGGGUUUUCCGUUUAAAAUCGUAAUUUAUGAAUAAUAUUUAAUGAGAUUUACAACAAUACUGUUAAAAAGAUUAAUGAAACUGUAUAAUGCUUGGUUUUUAGGCUGACAGUAAAUUAUUUUUCCAUUUUUAUUUAACGUAGCUUUAAGGUAUUAGAUGUAUAAAUGACACUUUUUCAAAAGGCGUUAAUUACUUUAUAUUAUUACAGUUUACACUUUACUAUAUUCUAGACAUAAAUACAAAAAAUUACAAAAGUUUACCAUCUUGUUGGAAAAAAUAUAGACAAUUAAAGUUCAACAACAACAAUUAUAUUUUCAUUAUCUGUAGAAAAGUUUCAACUUAUUUAAUAUUUUUCUUACUUGAAAAGUGAUGAUCAUGAACUAUACUUUUUAACUUCAAAUAAAUCAUGUAAAAUGUA